rnacentral:snRNA from 14 species
ACACAUACCUUGACGUGUCAAUGGGUCAUCGAGAAGGCUCAUGGCCCAAGUUGGUGACUUUCCGUAGCACCUUGGAGGGAUGCCCGUUUAAGGUCGGCCCAAAUGACCGAGCCCACAUCGCUAUUUGUGAAAGCGGGGCCUUUGUUUGUGCAGCCCCUAA